rnacentral:rRNA from 1 species
GGAGAGAUCCUGAACCAGCCAAGCCGCGUGAGGGAAGACGGCCCUAUGGGUUGUAAACCUCUUUUGUCGGAGAACAAAACCCGGGACGUGUCCCGGACUGCGUGUAUCCGAAGAAAAAGCAUCGGCUAACUCCGUGCCAGCAGCCGCGGUAAUACGGAGGAUGCGAGCGUUAUCCGGAUUUAUUGGGUUUAAAGGGUGCGUAGGCGGUCCGUUAAGUCAGCGGUAAAAUUGCGGGGCUCAACCCCGUCGAGCCGUUGAAACUGGCAGACUUGAGUUGGCGAGAAGUACGCGGAAUGCGCGGUGUAGCGGUGAAAUGCAUAGAUAUCGCGCAGAACUCCGAUUGCGAAGGCAGCGUACCGGCGCCAGACUGACGCUGAGGCACGAAAGCGUGGGGAUCGAACAGGAUUAGAUACCCUGGUAGUCCACGCAGUAAACGAUGAAUGCUGGUUGUCCGGGUCGAAUGAGACCUGG